rnacentral:tRNA from 1 species
ACUGUAUUGGCAGAUUAGUGCAAUAAAUUUAGGAUUUAUUUAUGUAAUUUAUUUUACAUGCAGUA